GCCGCAGUCGUACAAUGGUCAGUACACCUGCUUGCCAAGCAGGAGAUACGGGUUCGAUUCCCGCCUGUGGCUCCA
rnacentral:tRNA from 1 species